rnacentral:rRNA from 1 species
GAGAAUGUUAUCACGGGAGACACACGGCGGGUGCUAACGUCCGUCGUGAAGAGGGAAACAACCCAGACCGCCAGCUAAGGUCCCAAAGUCAUGGUUAAGUGGGAAACGAUGUGGGAAGGCCCAGACAGCCAGGAUGUUGGCUUAGAAGCAGCCAUCAUUUAAAGAAAGCGUAAUAGCUCACUGGUCGAGUCGGCCUGCGCGGAAGAUGUAACGGGGCUAAACCAUGCACCGAAGCUGCGGCAGCGAUGCUUAUGCGUUGUUGGGUAGGGGAGCGUUCUGUAAGCCUGCGAAGGUGUGCUGUGAGGCAUGCUGGAGGUAUCAGAAGUGCGAAUGCUGACAUAAGUAACGAUAAAGCGGGUGAAAAGCCCGCUCGCCGGAAGACCAAGGGUUCCUGUCCAACGUUAAUCGGGGCAGGGUGAGUCGACCCCUAAGGCGAGGCCGAAAGGCGUAGUCGAUGGGAAACAGGUUAAUAUUCCUGUACUUGGUGUUACUGCGAAGGGGGGACGGAGAAGGCUAUGUUGGCCGGGCGACGGUUGUCCCGGUUUAAGCGUGUAGGCUGGUUUUCCAGGCAAAUCCGGAAAAUCAAGGCUGAGGCGUGAUGACGAGGCACUACGGUGCUGAAGCAACAAAUGCCCUGCUUCCAGGAAAAGCCUCUAAGCAUCAGGUAACAUCAAAUCGUACCCCAAACCGACACAGGUGGUCAGGUAGAGAAUACCAAGGCGCUUGAGAGAACUCGGGUGAAGGAACUAGGCAAAAUGGUGCCGUAACUUCGGGAGAAGGCACGCUGAUAUGUAGGUGAAGUCCCUUGCGGAUGGAGCUGAAAUCAGUCGAAGAUACCAGCUGGCUGCAACUGUUUAUUAAAAACACAGCACUGUGCAAACACGAAAGUGGACGUAUACGGUGUGACGCCUGCCCGGUGCCGGAAGGUUAAUUGAUGGGGUCAGCGCAAGCGAAGCUCUUGAUCGAAGCCCCGGUAAACGGCGGCCGUAACUAUAACGGUCCUAAGGUAGCGAAAUUCCUUGUCGGGUAAGUUCCGACCUGCACGAAUGGCGUAAUGAUGGCCAGGCUGUCUCCACCCGAGACUCAGUGAAAUUGAACUCGCUGUGAAGAUGCAGUGUACCCGCGGCAAGACGGAAAGACCCCGUGAACCUUUACUAUAGCUUGACACUGAACAUUGAGCCUUGAUGUGUAGGAUAGGUGGGAGGCUUUGAAGUGUGGACGCCAGUCUGCAUGGAGCCGGCCUUGAAAUACCACCCUUUAAUGUUUGAUGUUCUAACGUGGACCCGUGAUCCGGGUUGCGGACAGUGUCUGGUGGGUAGUUUGACUGGGGCGGUCUCCUCCUAAAGAGUAACGGAGGAGCACGAAGGUUGGCUAAUCCUGGUCGGACAUCAGGAGGUUAGUGCAAUGGCAUAAGCCAGCUUGACUGCGAGCGUGACGGCGCGAGCAGGUGCGAA